UCGUACGCGAACGACCUUUCGGGGUUAAGUAGAGUGGCGAACGGGUUAGUAACGCGUGGGAACAUACACAGCACAGGGGGAUAACCAUUGGAAACGAUGGCUAAUACCGCAUACGCCCUAUUGGGGAAAGAUUUAUCGGUGUUGGAUUGGCCCGCGUUAGAUUAGCUAGUUGGUGGGGUAAUGGCUCACCAAGGCGACGAUUUAUAGCUGGUUUGAGAGGAUGAUCAGCAACACUGGAACUGAGACACGGUCCAGACUCCUACGGGAGGCAGCAGUCGGGAAUAUUGUGCAAUGGGGGCAACCCUGACACAGCCAUGCCGCGUGAGUGAAAAAGGCCUUAGGGUUGUAAAGCUCUUUCAGAUGUGAGGAUGAUGACGAUAGCAUCAGAAGAAGCUCCGGCUAACUUCGUGCCAGCAGCCGCGGUAAUACGAAGGGAGCUAGCGUUGUUCGGAAUUACUGGGCGUA
rnacentral:rRNA from 1 species